UUUCCCUCUCCUUUUUUCCCACAAACGUCGCCUCCAUCCAAACUCACGAACGCCGCGCCUUCUUUUCCGACCGCAAGCACCUGUUCAGCGGUGUCGACUCGACUCCCUUCAGUCAUCUGUGCAACGAAGCAGUCGCUGCCUCUGAUUGUUGAUGAUGUCGCUCGUUAAUCUGCGCUGGUCUUCGUGGAUUGCAGGUCGUUGCCCAGAACCUCGAGAUCCCACAAUCACUUACGCCCAAACCUGAAUAUUUAUAACCAGACGGUCACACAAGGGUGUUUCGAAUCUGUUGUUUCUUGUCGUUUGUGCUGUCAACAAUAAAGGUCGUCAUAACUUGUGGAUUUGGGUUUUGGAGAAGCUUUGAAGUUAAAAGUGUGCUGUCAAGAGGAUUUUGUUGUGGUUUCGACAAGCUUUUGGGCCUAAUUCAAGAUCCAUCUAAGCUAGGAGGAAGAUUAAUUUGCUUGUCGCUUAGACAUAAUUUUUGACUUCGAGGAAAAGGUAAAGAUGUAUCGGCGAUGGCGCAGCGGAAUUCGUGAUCGUGUCACUGGGACUAGACCUUUUCGCUUCCGCAUCUUGAAAUUUGAUAUUUAGUUUUACUGUUUAAAAUUUAUUACUAAGGAUUAUUUCUCUUAUAUGCCUUUGUUAGUCUUUAAAAAUUUUUGGUACCCUAUUAACUGUUUUAACAAUUGCAUUUAACAAACGUCUUUUGAACUUCUCUUAUUUAAUUAGCAUUUAUUUCAAAUAACUGAGCGUCGUUUUAAAUUCUGUUCAUGCAUUUAUUUUAGUAACGACCUUACUUAAGUCCUAGGGGGUCGGGUCGUUACAAAUCUUGUGUUCACAAAUGUUCAUCCUUGAUCAGCAUAGAGAUAUGGUGACGUAGGCGAUCACCGAGAGGUGUAGGCCAAGGGAAGACAGAACCUUAGUUGUGUCCUCAAUGGGAUUGACAAACUUGCGAUGUUCUUUCCCUAAACCCGUUCUCACUCUAAUUUGAUUCACAAGACUUGCCAUCGCAUUGUACAACUUCAGAUUUAUUUACCUGCUUAUUUAUUUACCAUCGCAUUUUACUAUUUACCUGUUUAUUCAUUUAUCAUUGCAUUUUACUUUUCAGCAACUCUCAGUAUUCGUUUGAUUAUGGUCGCAUAUAUCACAACAUUGUCGCAUUAACAUCGCAAUCCACAUGUUCGACCUCAGAUCACUCUGAGAAACUUGUGGGGGAAUUAUACUUGGUUUCAACGUAUAUCAUAUACAUCAUCAAUCCUUGCGGUGGCAUUACAUCCACCGUACAACAAGUUUUUGGCGCUGUUCCUAGGGAAUGGAAACUUUAGUGCUGAUAUUUUUUUGUGAUAUUUUACAGGACAUAUUUUUAGAGUAUAGUGUGCUUAAGCGAAGAGCGGCUGAUGGUGCAUGAGCACUGGAACGGAUCCAGAAUUCGACAGCAACCCAAAAAUCAGAGAACCUUUUGCAGGAGAGCAUGCCAAAAUUGGAAUAAACGUCGCAGAGAUAUGGUAAACAAUAACAACGAUAGGCCUGAAGUACAUCAAGGAAUGAAUCGACUACCGCAAGACCCAAUAUUCUUGGCUGUUGAUCGCAAUAUUCCUACGAGGAACUAUGUGGCGCCCAAUUUAUAUGAUUUUUUUCCAGGUAUCGCAAGACCUACAAUGGAAGAAGACGCCAGGUUCAAAAUUAAACCUGUUAUUCUCCAGAUGAUACAAAACGCGGGUCAAUUUGGAGGCUUGCAAGGAGAAGACCUUCAUGCACACCUCACAAGUUUUGUCGAGAUGUGCAAUACAUUCUCCAUUCCUUGUGUGACAACCGAAGGCAUCAGACUCUAUCUAUUUCCUUAUACACUUAGAGAUGAAGCUAAGAAGUGGGCCUAUUCUUUGGACAAAAGCCUCCCUUUGGCGGCUUUUGUCCUAAACCUUUGAAGCAUCAUUACGAAGCUAGAUGUCACAUGGGGUUCAUAUUAGUUUUGCUAAAACCUUAUUGGAUGU